UUCUGACCUCGAAUCAGGUGGGACUACCCGCUGAACUUAAGCAUAUCAAUAAGCGGAGGAAAAGAAACUAACAAGGAUUCCCCUAGUAACGGCGAGUGAAGCGGGAUGAGCUCAAAUUUAAAAUCUGGUAGUCUUUGACUGCCCGAGUUGUAAUCUAGAGAAGUGUUUUCUGUGCUGGACUGUGUUCAAGUUUCCUGGAUAUGGAACAUCAUAGAGGGUGAGAAUCCCGUCCUUGACACAGACUUCCAGUGCUAUGUGAUGCACUCUCAACGAGUCGAGUUGUUUGGGAUUGCAGCUCAAAAUGGGAGGUAAAUUCCUUCUAAAGCUAAAUAUUGGCGAGAGACCGAUAGCGAACAAGUACCGUGAGGGAAAGAUGAAAAGCACUUUGGAAAGAGAGUUAAACAGUACGUGAAAUUG
rnacentral:rRNA from 1 species